rnacentral:lncRNA from 1 species
AAAAUUACAUUUUUAAUACUUGGUUUGUAUGUGAGGUCCGAAUAGAGCUUACGAUAUGGUUUGUAACCUGUACUGUUGACAUCACUCCGUUUGAUCGUUUGUAGAUACCUAUUUGAUGGUCAGUUUUAAUAUAGCUUUACAUAUUCAAUCUAAUACAUACCCCGAUAUGUACUUAUCAAAAUUCUAUGAAUAUGUGCAAAUGAACAUAACAAAGUUCUUGUGUGAAAUUAUUGUUUUGGCAAAAAGAAUACAAACAUGACGGAAUGAGAAUGAAAGAAUGUUAUAUAUUGUUAUGCAUGUCUAUAAACAGUGUACACAAGCAUAUGCAGAUAAUACGAACAUGGACAUGACAUACAUUAAAAAAAAAUAUUGCAAAUAUGUGACCCGCCAUGACAGUUGCAGGCUUAUGGAGGUAGAACGUCAUUGUUAGAAAAAUUAUAAACAUGAUAAAUAUCGAGAUUCAAUGAAAUACGUAUUUGUGAAGAAGAGAUAAACACUGUCCUUGGCUUCAUUUUGCGUACGCCGAACUAUACAUCAUCUAUAAGUUUUGAAGAAGUUUUACUUUAUCGUUUGAAGUGAAAAAUAUUUGAAUCUACAUUAUAAAUUGAUACAAACAAAAUUAAAUUUCUGCCCUAUAGAUUUCCUUUCAUAAAUGAAGUCUGAAUAUAUCCAUAAUUAAUGCACCGUAUCAAAUGCAUUUAAGAUAACACCUACUUAUAAACUGUUACGCGUCGCAUACUAUGUAUAGAGACAUGCAUAAUAAAUGUAAAUUAAAAAAAGGAAUUCUUAAUGCUUACUUUGAAAAAUGUUAAACUAACUUCAUUUCAACAAGUUUAAAUUACAUGUUCUAAAAAAGAGCUAAAAAUUGUUUGCAUUGUAGUAAAUUUAAGUCUUUAAAAUUUUAUUCAAAUACGCUAUUGAACAUCACUAAAGGCCAAUAAAUACAAACAUUUUGUGUUUUAUAAAUAAGGGCAUUCAAUAAAUAAAAGUCGUUAUAGAAUAGUCCCAUUUCAUACCGGUACUCGAAAUGACUCGUUUCAUUGAUAUUAACAAAUAUGUCAUAAUAACAUGACAGAGAGUUUUGUUUCGGAAUAUUCUAGAUAAAUAUACAAAAAUCAAAUUUUAGACAAUGUACCCUCCUGAGCCUGGAAAUGGCUAGUCACAUAUAGUUAACGGCGUUUUUCUCACAAUGACGUUCUACCUCCAUAAGUCUGGAUAUGUCGUGGCUAGUCACAUAUUUGUUCUCUUAUUUGGACUAUUUUGUUUUGAAAUUUUUUUUAUCUAAUAUACAUAAACGAACAUAACAAUCAUCAUUGCCUUAAGGUAGUUCAGGGGUAAAGAAAAAAAAUGACAGAAUUUUCUUAUACUUUGUGAAAUUUAACUUUGAAGUAUUGUUAAUGAAAAAAUGCAAAAAAAAAUUGGGGUCACCGGCCAUCUAAGACAUAUUUUGACCUCUGAAAAUGAGUGCAAAUAGGUUAUAUGGAACUAUAGGGAAAAUGGACAAAAAAACAAUUUGAUUGAAUUUUUACAGCAAAAUAAAUGACAGAAGUUGCUCAUUUUUUCAUAUUGUAAAGCUUGAUGUCUCUAUUUUAUAAAAUUGAAAUAAAAUUUGGGGGUCACCGGCCAUCCAAGAGAUUGUUUGACCUCUGAAAAUGAGUGCAAAUAGGCUAAAUAUAGGGAAAACAGGCAUAAAAUAUCUUUGAUUGAAUUUUCAGAGCAAAAUAAAUGACAGAAGUUGCUCAUUUUUUCAAACUGUAAAGCUUGAUUCUCUAUUUUAUAAAAUUGAAGUAAAAUUUGGGGGUCACCGGCCAUCCAAGAGAUUUUUUGACCUCUGAAAAUGAGUGCAAAUAGGCUAAAUAUAGGGAAAACAGGCAUAAAAUAUAUUUGAUUGCAUUUUCAGAGCAAAAUAAAUGACAGAGGUUGCUCAUUUUUUCAAACUGUAAAGCUUGAUGUCUCUAUUUUAUAAAAUUGAAAUAAAAUUUGGGGGUCACCGGCCAUCCAAGAGAUUGUUUGACCUCUGAAAAGGAGUGCAAAUAGGCUUAAUAUAGGGAAACAGGCAUAAAAUAUCUUUGAUUGAAUUUUCAGAGCAAAAUAAAUGACAGAAGUUGCUCAUUUUUUCAAACUGUAAAGUUUGAUGUCUCUUUUUUAUAAAAUUGAAGUAAAAUUUGGGGGUCACCGGCCAUCCAAGAGAUUUUUUGGCCUCUGAAAAUGAGUGCAAAUAGGCUAAAUAUAGGGAAAACAGGCAUAAAAUAUAUUUGAUUGAAUUUUCAGAGCAAAAUAAAUGACAGAAGUUGUUCAUUAUUUCAUACUGUAAAGUUUGAUGUCUUUAUUUUAUAAAAUUGAAAUUAAGUUUGGGGGUCACCGGCCAUCCAAGAAAUUUUUUGACCUCUGAAAAUGAGUGCAAGUAGGCUAAAUAUAAGGAAAACAGGUUAAAUAUCUUUGAUUAAAUUUUCAGAGCAAAAUAAAUGACAAAAGUUGCUCAUUUUUUCAUACUGUAAAGCUUGAUGUCGCUAUUUUAUAAAAUUGAAAUAAAAUUUGGGGGUCACCGGCCAUCCAAGAAAUUUUUAGACCUCUGAAAAUGAGUGCAAAUAGGCUAAAUAUAAGAAAAAAAGCAUAAAAUAUCUUUGAUUGAAUUUUCAGAGCAAAAUAAAUGACGGACGUUGGUCAUUUUUUCAUACUGUAAAGCUUGAUGUCUCUUUUUUAUAAAAUUGAAAUAAAAUUUGGGGGUCACCGGCCAUCCAAGAAAUUUUUUGACCUCUGAAAAUGAGUGCAAAUAGGCUAAAUAUAGGAAAACAGGCAUAAAAUAUCUUUGAUUGAAUUUUCAGAGCAAAAUAAAUGACAAAAGUUGCUCAUUUUUUCAUACUGUAAAGCUUGAUGUCUCUGUUUAUAAAAAUUGAAAUAAAAUUUGGGGGUCACCGGCCAUCCAAGAAAUUUUUUGACUUCUGAAAAAAAUGAGUGCAAAUAGGCUAAAUAUAGGGAAAACAGGCAUAAAAUAUCUUUGAUUGAAUUUUCAGACCAAAAUAAAUGACAGACGUUGCUCAUUUUUUUAUACUGUAAAGCUUGAUGUCUCUAUUUUAUAAAAUUGAAAUAAAUUUUGCGGGUCACCAGCCAUCCAAGAGAUUUUUUUAGGAAAAUAACAGUUGUUAUGUUCUACCUCGCUAUGCUCGUCCGAACAUAAAUUAUUUCUCAUUCUAUAUAAAGAAACAACAAAGACUAAUAUGGCGGGAGGUACACACAAAACAGUUUUAAUAUAACAUUUUUUAAAAAUACAUGUAUAUCGUGCAAUCGAAUAUUAAAGUCCAUACAUCAUGCGUCAUUAUAUUAUCUAUAUAAUCUUCUCAACUGUGUUCAUACUAAUAUCUACAAAAAUAAAAUACAAAGAAUUAUGAUUUAUACAAAGCAUAUUAUGUUGUGCCUGGCUGACAUAAAAAAAUGAGUCCGUGAAACUAAAGUUUCAUUACACACUUCACUAUCGGUUAUUCAAUUCUAUUCACAUCUUACAUUCUAUCUCUGUAUUUUGCAGAUCUGGGAAGUAGAACCAGGGAAGAGGGAUGAAUUCCAAACAGUCCAAGAAGUAUUGGUAGGACCAAGAACAAUUGAUGACCAAGUUUGGACCAGAAUUAUCAAAA